ACAUAUACAAGGUGCUGCAUGGUUGUCGUCAGCUCGUGCCGUGAGGUGUCGGGUUAAGGUCCCAUAACGAGCGCAACCCCUACUCAUUAGUUGCCAUCAGGUCAAGCUGGGGACUCUAAUGAAACUGCCUACGCAAGUAGUGAGGAAGGCGGGGAGUGACGUCAAAUCAGCACGGCCCUUACCGUCCAGGGCUACACACGUGCUACAAUGGCCGAUACAGAGGGCAGCUACCUGGUGACAGGAUGCAAAUCUCCAAAGUCGGUCUCAGUUCGGAUCGGAGUCUGCAACCCGACUCCGUGAAGUUGGAUUCGCUAGUAAUCGCGCAUCAGCCAUGGCGCGGUGAAUACGUUCCCGGGCCUU
rnacentral:rRNA from 1 species